rnacentral:lncRNA from 1 species
GAACUGUAUCGCUUUGGACGUGGAGCGGGAUGUGCAUGGCAGUUUCUAAAGCAAAGGCAGAAUAGAUUGCAGGUGCUCUGAAAUGUCUUCUCUCACGGUAACCUAACGUAGCACGGUAACCCUGGUCCUGACGGGAGGAAAAAAAACUGUCGGGUGAGGUUCUCUUCUGCACUGUUCAACCAAUCCAGUAAAUGUGGAGGAGUUAAGAUGGAGUGUCGCCUUGUUAAAGUCAAAAAGCUCUGGCGUAACCCAACUAUCACAGCCAGAGGAUCUCUCUUUCGGCUGCUGCUGACAACAACUGCAUGAACCAGCCAGGUAACAACACAUGCUGUCAAUCAGAGUUGGUACCAAAAUUGACAUGGCCAUUAUUCCCCCCCAAAAAUGCCUCCUUGG